GAAGAGGCUACUAUUGGGCUUUAGAGUUCCACUGAGACAGGCCUUGAGUCGUAGCUUCGUGACGGCACCCGUUGAGAUAUCGCACCUGACUCCGUUAAAGGGAUCACUGAGGUUGCAGUGGCUGCUAUCAAACUCAUCCAUGAACUCAGUGAGAGCUUGAGUCUGAUGGGGACCACAAGCAACAUAACUACUUUUAUCGAUGUUUAAUGUGAAUAAGCUUGAAGGGGAGACACAACAGAGCAAGAUUAGCGAGAGAAAAUGCAAACGCACACGGGAUUCAGACAUGGUCUUUAUGAAAAGUUUUGAAGAAGAUUUAUUUUGGUUUAAAAAAAAGUGAGGGAGAAGGUUGGUGAUAUAAAUAGAGAUAUGUGGGUUUCAACUGGAGCUAUUAUGUCACCCAUACAACUCGACUUAUAAGAAGUCAGAGCUGAGUGAUGUCUUUGUAUUCUAGCUUGGAAAAAAAAAUAUGGCUAAGUGGCUAAUUUCCAUUCAUAUCAUGAAGUGAAAUCCACGUUAGUUGAUUUUUCUAGCGUAUAACUUGGAUUGGAAUAGUUUAACAGAAAUAAACAAAACUUGGUUCGAAAUUUCUCACAUGUGUUCAAAACGACAUGCACAUAAUGUUUGUGGAGUGUCAAUUUGCAGACCUGUUAACGUGAAGGACCGUCACAGACAAAGUGGUCACAUAUAUAUUGGUUUAGCUAACAAAAGACCUUACAUGUCUGAUGUAUCACACACUAAGCGCAGUUUCUCGGAAUCGCAACCGACGAACAUCUCAUGGACCUUAGCCGACUGAUGAUUAUAGAUCACUUUCAGUUUGUCGCCGGAUUGAUGAUUAGAUCUAUUAACGAAAUCAUCGGAAAAAUACAACCGCAGGCGAUUGAUGAUUAGAUUUAAAUCUACAUGUUCCAUACCAGUCGGUCUGAAUCACUUGAUGAUUCUGGCUAUGGAUAAACUUCGCUCCAUCAUGUUCAUUCUAAAAUAGUAAAAAUCUACUCUCAAAAGAUAGAAGAUCAAAGCAUAACCGAUAACACAAAGAGAUCUACACAUCAAUCCAACAUUUGGAGCUUUCCGAAAUUAGAUCCGAAAGCUAUAUGAACAUGCAUAAGGUGAGGAAAAUAAAGCAAAAACAAAGAUAGCCGAAUAUAAUUGGAGCGAGUUAAGGAAAAUUUCAGCAAGAGAUAUGGUGGUGGGAAGGCUACCAAUGCUAAACCCAACAGCUUGAACAAAGAGUUUGGGUACUUGAGCUCCACCGUCAGAAUGAAACACAAAAAAUUUCUUUCUAGUCUCUAUUGAUAUGAUAUUAACUUGUUUGUCUUUCUCGUAGGUCUAAACUAAAGGAGCAUAUGCAGUACUGUGUGGAUCAUCCUGAGGAGAUUAACAAACUUGCUAAGGUUAAGGCUCAAGUAACUGAGGUGAAAGGAGUUAUGAUGGAGAACAUUGAGAAGGUCAGGAUAGUAUUAUCUAUGUUAAUCUCACAGCUCUGCUUUAUAAUUAAUUUGAGCAUAUUUGUCAUAACUGGCUUGAAUUUGUGAAGCUGACUAAGCUUUAUGUAAUUCAUUUAUUUUCAGGUCCUUGACCGAGGUGAGAAAAUCGAGCUUCUAGUGGACAAAACUGAGGAUCUUCGUUCACAUGUUAGUGCUUACCUUUCACUUAUAUGUGUCUUAGGUUUUUAAUAACAUUCUUUUUCAGCAGUAUUAAUUCCUUUUGAACUAAUCAAAGAAAAACUCAUGUGUAUACAUAUAAACACAUAACAAGGCAUUAGAUUUAUAUUUGCCAUUUGAAUAACAACAGGCAUAAGAUUUCAGAACACAAGGAACAAAAAUAAGAAGAAAGAUGUGGUGGGAGAACAUGAAGAUUAAGCUCAUAGUCGUUGGUAUCAUCAUUGCAUUGAUUCUCAUCAUCAUCAUCUCGGUUUGUCCUGGCUUCAAGUGUACUUGAAAAGAAGAACAGUUUGAGAGAUUAUAAGCCCCUUAUUGUUAUACUAACCUGCUCCUCCCAGUAUUUUCCCUUCUAUUUUGAUCUUUUUGUUCCGCAGUGUCUCUUUUAUAGUUAUUUUUAAUUUUGUUAGCAAAAAAGCAAUACGAUGAGCAGUAUUUAGAAAUGAUCCUUUGGGUUGUGAAUGUUUGGAAACUGAUUUAAGCUGUUGGGGUUUGCUUAUACAUAGGCUAGGUCUUUGUGCUCAUGGUGAUGGCAUGUUUUUUUUGUAAUCUUGAAUCGAAUGUUGGGUUUUGCCGUUUCCUUCAAUCUCCUAAUUUUCUCAUUAGGGGAAAAACAUUAUAUUAGAUCGUUGUGUUCAUGCUUAUUUGAUAGAAGAAGAAAUAAGCAAAGUAUUAGAUUAAGAUACAACAAACAUAAGAUAGUGCUUUAAUACAACUAGUUGACAGACAAGGAAAGAUCAAAGUCAGACAGCAACAAUUCUAACGAUACACACAAAAAAACACACAAGGAAAAUGCUAUAUAAUACAUGAUCAACAACUACUUGACAGACAUUGAAAGCACAAACUUAAAACGGAAACAAUCCCAACGGUUUAUGCGGUCGCACCAGGUAUAGCCUUGAGCCAAAAAAAGAAACUUGUAUUUGAUUCUGUUGUGGUCAACAACUAGAAACCUUAACGACUGAAAGACUUCGGAUUCUUUACAGAAAGGAUAAAUAGAACAAAACAUCAGAUAAUGAUACAACAAACAUAAGGAAAUGCUUGCAUACAUGAGCAUUUAAAACUAAGACAUACAUUCAAGGAUUACACUCAUACUGCUUCUGCGCUUACUGGGACCAACUAUCUUGAGGAGCCACUCCGGUUUGUAUGAAGCAACGAGCUGUGCUAUUGCCAGUCCAAGCAACACUCCAAGGCCAUAUCCAAUAUCUACAGCUUUCCAGUUCAACACUUCUUCCUCUUCUUCAUCUUCUUUAGGUUGUUGUGUAGGUGGUACAUUAUUAGUCCCAAAGCAAGUUUCCUGGAGAGGAAGACCACAAAGCCCUGCAUUUCCUUCAAAUGAAGAUUUAGGUUGGCCAGUAAUCUGUGUUCCUUGUGGUAUUUCACCCUUGAGUUGGUUGUGAGACACAUUUAUGUACUCCAAAAAAGAGAGGCUCCCGAUUCCAUUAGGAAUAGUCCCUGAGAGUUGGUUGCUUGAUAGGUCAAGUGACUCGAGCUUGCCAAGAUUGGAGAGAGAGAGAGGAAUACGGCCAGUGAAGGCGUUGUUUGAUAAGUUGAGUGAAAUCAAUGCUUUCAGAAGACCAAUGGAUUCAGGAAUCUGUCCUUCAAUUCUAUUCCCAGAAAAAUCAAUAGUGGCGUAUGAGGUAAGGACCCCCUGUUGCUCCAUAGUUAGACCUUUGUAUCGCAAAUCUAUAGCCUCCAUAAUGGCAGCGCUGAAUUCCCCAUGUAUAAAUUCUCCGUGUUGCAUAUAUAUAUCACCAUCUUCAUUCAUUGUAAGUGUUGGUGCUUUCCAGUUGACAAAAUAUCUUGGUGGCAAGCUUCCAGAAAACUUAUUAUCAGAUAUCUCAAAUAUUUGCAGCUCUGGAAACCUGAGAGGACCUUGAUCAGGGGGAGAUAUAGAGCCAUAGAACUUGUUUGAACUGAGGAUAAGGACUUGCAAAUUCGGUAAAGCCUUGAGCCAAAAAGGAAACUUGUCUUUGAUUUUGUUGUGGUCAACAACUAGAAACUCUAGAGAUGAGCAGUUUUGAAGAGAUCUUGGAAGUUUCCCGGCGAGUAGAUUGUGUCCAACGUCAAGAGACCGUAGAGAAGCACCCAUAUAAAACGUGUCAGGAAUACUUCCUUCCAAAUUUUUCUUCCUAAGAUUCACAAACGUCAAGCUUUGACUCAAGCAUUGCGGAAUUGGACCAGUUAGGUUGUUGUUAGAUAGCUUCAAGAGCGUCAGAGACCUAUAAUUGCAAAGUGAAAGAGGUAUGCUCCCUGUGAAUCUGUUGUCUGAAGCAGAGAAAAAGUUGAUAGAGAGUGGUAGAAUAGGAAUUGCUCCUUCAAAAUAGUUUUUCUCCAUAAAUAAAUUCUUCACCGAUGAAUUUACUAAAACAUCAACUGGACCUUCGAAACCAUCAAACAAAUUAUCUGAAAUAAACACUGUGUUUAGAUGAGGAAGGUUCCACAACCACUCGGGGAUUUUCCCUUUGAUUCUAUUGUCGGACAAUGCUAUAAAAUCCAACUUCUCAAGGUUCUUUAAGGCAUUUGGGAACUCGGUGAUGCCACAGUCUGAUAAGAGCAAGAUCUCCAAGUCUGUUGGGAUGUCUGACUUUGAACCUAAACUGUCCGAAGGUAUGCUAUUACCGGAAAGAUCAAGGUGCACCAAAGAUUUUAGCGAGGAAAAGAGGCUUAUAUCAAUUGGGUAACUUGUGUUGAGGAAAGAAAGGUCAAGAACCUUGAGGUUGAUGAGCUUUGAGAUAGGCUCUAUGAUUUUUCCUUCAAAAUGGUUGCGCCCAAGGUACAUGGACUUGAGCCUAGAUGGGGUAGAGGUGUUAGGAAAUUUAAUAGAUCCGGUGAGAUUGUUUCCAUACAGACGGAGAUCUGAUAAGAUAGGCAUAUUGACUACAGAAGAAGGAAUGGUUCCAGAGAAGUAGUUAUCAUCAAGAUUUAGAACAGAGAGCAUGGUUAGAUUUUCCACAAGUGGAAAACUACCAGUGAGCUGGUUGUCGUCAAGGUACAAUUCGGUUAACGAGGUUAGGUUACUAAUUGUGGGAGGAACUAGCCCGAAAAAGUCAUUAAAGGCAAGAUCCAAGAACUCAAGUUUGUUGAGAUUUCCAAAUUCAGAAGGGAGUGAUGACCUGAAGUUGUUGGAACCUAGAUCAAGGUAACUGAGGUGGUGCAACUCAAACAGGCUAGUAUUGUUGGGAUUCAGAGUUCCAGAGAAAUGAUUAUGAGAAAGGUCUAAAAACGAGAGCUUUGUUAGAUUCCGUACAAGUGGGAAACUACCAGUGAGCUGGUUGUGGUCAAGGUACAAAUCGGUUAACGAGGUUAGGUUACUAAUUGUGGGAAGAACUUGCCCGUAAAAGUCAUUGGAGUGAAGAUACAAGACCUCUAACCUGUUGAGAUUUCCAAAUUCAGAAGGGAGUGAUGAGGUGAAGUUGUUUUGACUUAGAUCAAGGUAACGGAGGUGGUGCAACUCAAACAGGCUAGUACUCUUGGGAUUCAGACUUCCAGAGAAAUGAUUAUUAGAAAGGUCUAAAAACGAGAGCUUCGUUAGAAUCCUUACAAGUGGGAAACUACCAGUGAGCUCGUUUAGGGAAAGAGAUAAAUAGGAAAGAAGGCUUAGGUUAUUAAAUGAGGAAGGAACUUGGCCUACAAAGCUAUUAUUGGAAAGAUAUAUGACCUCUAACCUGUUGAGAUUGCCAAAUUCAGAAGGAAGUGAAGACGAGAUGAAGUUGUUUUGAUCGAGGACAAGGUGACGAAGAUGUUGUAAUCUGAAUAGGCUACUAUAUAUUGGGCUUUAGCGUUCCACUGAGGCAGGUCUGGAGUCGUAGCAUUGUGACCGCACCGGUCGAUUUAUCGCACCAGACUCCAUUAUUGGGAUCACUGAGGUUGCAGUGGCUGCUAUCAAACUCGUUCAUGAACUCAGUAAGAGCUUGAGUCUGAUUGGGAUGACAAGCAACAUAGAUACUAUCAUCGUAUGUGAAAGUGUAGAAGCUCGUUGAAGGGGAGACACAACAGAGCAAGAUUAGC
rnacentral:lncRNA from 1 species